rnacentral:lncRNA from 1 species
AUCUGUCCCCUCAUCUAAACUAUUAUCUCCCUCCGUCUCAUCUGUACGUAAAGAGCACGGCGAACAUAGCGGCGCCGGCGUGCGCAGGAUACACCUGCUGUUGCGAACGACGUCCAAGGUAAUUGCCAUCUCUUGUUUGAUUUUUUUUCCUAUCUGCAAUCUGUAAAUAAUUUUGCCUAUAGUUGUAACCAUGUAAUUGUGUUGUUAAAAUUCAAAGGAAAAAUAGCGGUAUUAAAUUACAUGAAAAAGAAAUAUAAUUAAAUAUAUGGCUUAAUCAUGACUACAAAUAAUCCACAAGGGUAUUAUUAUCAAUCUACAUUCUAUCGUCUCUAACCAAACAAUUUUGAUCUGCUCUCCAGCUGCUACAGGAGCAGCUCUUACUAGAGUUGGAGUUUGAAACUAUAAUCUGGAGUUCGGAGGCCUACCAAAUAGACCCUAAUAAAAGAAAUUGUUGUGUGCCCCUUCUAGUUCAAUAUAUAUAUAGUGUCUUUCGCAGUCUGCUCCAACUGCUCAUAAUUUUAUAUUCUAGUUAAUUACCCCUCCAGAAGACAAAAAACAUCUAAUUAUUUGUUUAAUUUAAAUGGAUAGAUGCAUAGAACUUUGAGAAUGUAUGUUGUAUCUGCAUAUCACAGCUCUCUUAGAUAGGGUGCAUCGUAUAAUAGGUUUAGGAGGUAUCUAGAAAUUAGCAUUGACUUGUUCAAUUUUAUCAGAUAAGAC